AUGUGGAAAGAGAACUCAUUCCUAC
rnacentral:piRNA from 1 species